AUGGUAAGAAUUGUUGAUGUUUUUCACCUCUCAAUAAAGCAUUUCCAUUUCCAUCUCUCACACGAACUAACUUUUGUCUGUUUUGCAGCGUGCAAGCGCAGAGAAAAUCCUGAAGGAGACAGUUUUGUGGUGAACGCCUUCCUCCGGAGAGGGAUGGAGGAGUGUGAACGGUACAGCGCGACGGAUCACAAGCCGAAGAACAUGCAGGUAUCAGGCACCUUUUCCUCUUUCUCGGUGGACCUGUUUGAGCUAAAAGAAACAGCCUGCACGGCUAUUCUCUUUCCCUUUAAUGACUUAGAGCGUGUACAAAUACGUUUGAAUACUGACUGAGAAUUUCCAAGAGUAUAAAAGAAAGAAACCUCUCCAUUAAAAUACGGGGAAGAUGAAAUCCAGCGUUCUGGUUGGUUGAUGAGUGAGUCACGGGGUACAGUACCUGUUCACCUGGACCCGAGCGGCCCGCAUCACUGCGCACGCGAAGUUGACAUUUCAGCUUUCAGCUCGGUGGCGGUCUGCGAAAAAAGGCCGGAAACACCACAAGUGAUCGGUUUCACGCAAUGAGAGCUCCCGCAACCGGACAAUUGAGGUGGACGUCAUGAGCGAUGUGAAUGAAUGAGAUGGUGCGAGAUCUUGCAGGGAGACCCGGUGCUGUUUACGUGCACGUACGGGGGCUAUUUUUCUCUAGACUACUGACAUGCGAUGCAGAACGUUUGGUGGCUGCAAGUAUUUUGUGCUGAAAGGCAGCUAUUUACUUACUAUUUAUAAUUUCGCUGGUAACCGUAUUAUAAAAGCAACAGGGUACUUGGGCCUAACAACGCCCCGAACUGUUACAUUAUUGAACUAAAAGUACAGCCUCUCAUAUCUUCUUGGUUAAGUAGGACAGGUUGUGUGGUGAAAUGGUGAAUAUUACUCUCAGAGUAAAUAUGUGGUUAUGCUGCGUGUUUCACAUGCACAGUGUACCAGGUAUGUUUGUUUGCUGACUGGAUUGGUGAGCUGAGAACUUAAGGGAAGGCCAAUCGACUGUGAGAGUGUGAAGACACGUGAGGUCACAGGUUGUCAUGUGUCUGGCUCCGCCACAACGCCACGCGGCAGGUAUUCCCCUGCCAGCAUCACUGGAGGGGUUAUGACAGCCAUGGCGACAUGACACGGCCAAGCAGGCACACUCACACACACACGCACACAGAUACACACACAGAGACUAGAUGGAAAGGUUGUUGUUUCUCAAACGGGAGGGAUGUGAAGUGUUUGCUCUCGUGGCUCCUGGCAUCAUGGCAUCAUGGCAUCCUGGCAUCAUGGCAUCAUGGUAUCCUGGCAUUAUGGCAUCCUGUCAUCAUGGCAUCAUGGCAUCAUGGCUGUGUCUUUUUCCUCAAUGCCUCCCGUUCUAGUGCGGCGGCCCUCGGUGGCAUAACAUUACAUCACUUCAAUUAGUGUAUCGCUUUGAAGGGCCACAACAGUCUGCGAGCUCUAAGACAGAAACUGCAGGGAGUUCACAGGGAGGUAGCGACGAGUCUGUGAGGUGGGCGGUUGGAAAGGUUGGAAGAGUUAUGGAUUAUAUCAGGCUGUAAACCGUCCAUUUAAGGCAAAUUAAAAGAGAACGUACCUUGCUUCAGAGGGGUCUUGAGUUCACACUCCCCUCAAGGAAAGCCACUAAAGGCAUAAACCAGGCACUUAUUAGUUGGUUGAUCCAAUACUCAUUUCUAUCAAAGGCAGGCCACUGAUUUAUUUUGUGUUAUUAAGUAGUUAAAUUAGAGGCUUGUUCACAGACCAGAACCAGCCAAUUACCUCUCCUGCUUUCUUUGAGACUAAUUUAGGAUUUAGUUGAGAGGAGAAUCCCAGUUCGGUCACGUCUGUUACGGCAUAUACUGGUCCUAAUGGGUCUUUAUUGCCAAACUAUAUAAAUGGCAAGUAAUGUUUUUUUGAGCCAGAAAAUGACUUGCUAAUCAUGGUUUACUUGCAGAGGACAUUUGCAACUAAUUUAUCAAUUAAUUAAAUAAAACUCCCUCUAAUGAAAUUUACCUUGUGGGUUGGUUUUCAAGCAUUAGUUCCAGCUUCACAGUUAUAAUACUUUGAUGCUCUUUCCUGCCUGAUGAGAGAUAUUUUUUGAAUUAUUAGUUGGACAAAAACAAAGCAAUUUGAAAACAUCCCUUGGAAAUUAUAAUGACCAUUUUUCACUGUUUUCUGACAUUUUAUUUAACAGUAAUAGAUUCAUGUGAAAUAGAUUGCCGAUCACGUAACAAAUAAAUCAUUUGUUGAAGCGACCCUGGUGCAAGUAUCAAAUGCCUAAUUAUCCAGCAGUAUGAAUGAAACUGAUCCCGGGACACAACAGUGCUUUUUAUGUUCAGUAUAUUUGCUAUAUGUGACUGCGUGUUUGUACGCAUUGACAGCUCUAUUCACUGCGUUUAAAUUGAGCUAAUGUUAAUGUGAAGAUUGAUGAUGUCCUUGGGGAUGCCUCUUAUGCCGUAUGGUUUCCUAUGGAACAGGCUGACUUUUAACUCAUUAAUCUCUGCUGUACGAUGACGCGUUUCUCUUUUGAUCCCAAAUGCCUUUAAUUAAUUCUCCUCCAGGAUCGGAUUACAUUGUCACACAUCCAGAUGUGGAUAUUGGAUUAUGAGUUGUUCGAUGUCUGGGGUUUAGACCGUGAUUAAACAAGUCCAAGUCAAGUAGAAAACCACAAUAACAUAAAUAAUUUAAUUAAUAAAUAUGUAUAUAUAUAUUUUAAGUUUUUUACGUUUUUAGAUGGAUCUGGAUGGGUAGAUACCCGAAGUAUCUACCCAUCCAGCUCAAACCAGACAGUGGCUACACCGGUUAUUACAGUUGAUGAGCGGCAGGGACAGUUGAAAGUUGAAAUUGCUUGAUGAUUUUUGGACAGGAGACGAUUGGCGGAACGCACUGUUUAGCUUUGACCAACCCCCCCCCUCCCCGUUCUCAAACGGGGGAGUAGGAUUCCUGAGCCGUCUGGCUGCGACUUCAAAGUGCAAAGCUGGGAGUUAUAAAAGGGCUCUGAUAUCAGUGGAGCCUCCGAACCCUCACCCCUCACCCCUCUAUCCCCCUGCCCCAUCCUGGGGGAUGGGCCGAGGGACGGAGUAUAUCCAGGAGGGGGAAAGCCAGUGCCGAGGCAGCCGGUGCCCAACAUCAGUUUGUGUAAACCUGUGAUCCUCCUCCUCCUCCUCCUCAGUGAGCUUUCGGGCAGCUCUGUCUCACUUUAGAAAGAUAUUGAUCAAAGGACAACAGGGCCCGUUCAAAUGUUGGUAUUGCCGUCUGUUUCGAGCUCGCAGCUGGCGAGUUGCUAUCUGUCUGUUAGUGGACAAAAAGAGCCUGAUUCAGCAGGAAGUCAUCAAGAUUUUGACACCUCUCUGCAGGUAUUACCUGUUCAAACGCACGGUGUAAUGUAGAAUAUAGGAGGGGAGAUUGGAAGAGGCUUUCCGAGGUAUAAUCGUCUACCCCGCCUUCAAAAAACAAGUCUAGUCUGUGGUUAAUUAAUAUGUAAAAUGCAGGAAAAUCCAUGGCCUGAAUUCCUCCAAACGUUAGUGGAAGAAGGUCCACCGUGUUUCACCUCUGGAAACAUCAACAGUCUAGACCGUCACAUACACAACCACAGUGCUUCAUUUUGGAGCUUCAAGCAGACAUACUUUGAUGCCCAAAUAAUGACAGGCUAAUUCAGCCUUUCGGCACCAUCUUUUGUCUAAGAACUCCCAACAGACUUGCCCCACAAAGAGGGAGUGUGUCAACGCUUUAAAUUCCACAACAAAGAACUCUAUUAUUCUACACUGAAAGGUUAAUAAUAUCACACUCAAAGUUAAAAGGGCUUGUUUAGGUGUUUCAGUUGGAUGUAGUGAUGUGCCAAAAGCUCCGAGACGCAAAUUUGUUUUGAUUUGUGGAGAGUUACACAGCACUCGCCCCUCAAUAAUACCUUUCGUUUAAGAGCAGUGUUGCCAAGCACCUCACUCAACUAAUUGUAAACUGGUGUUUCAUUUAUUUGGAAUCUGUAAAUAAGACUUUCCAUUUAUAUAAAAGCGCUCAUUUGGUGAGCAGGCCCAAAAUGGAUGUUAUGUUUGGACAAUUUUAACCGCAGGGCAUUUGGUUGUAUCUUCCGUUCAUUUGGAGUCCACAGUGUUUGAUUUGGAUCCCGAGGAUGUGAUAUCUGUGUAAUUUUAAGGCCGUGGCCCUGAACGGCAUUUCAUUUUUUUAACUUUAAAGCUGAAAUGCGCUUUGAUGUGAUUCGCGUGCGCUGGAUACAAUCAUGCACCUCCUCAAGUCAUUGAGAGCUUGAGAACUUCCCCCAGGACACGAUCUCGCCAGCAGCGUCUCGUGACUUUUCCCUCCCGCCUCUCUCGCACGACACGGACGACACAGGAGGAGCCUGUCCCCCGACGCGACGCCACCAGGGAGCGUUACAUGGCGGGAAGGAGACAAAAAGGUGCACUCAAAUAUGUACUGCUUUUGAAGGAACUUGAAGGCAUUUGGAAAGUUUGUUUUUUCCAACCCCUUUUUUU
ensembl:lncRNA